UACGGGGGGAGCAAGCGUUGUUCGGAUUUACUGGGCGUAAAGGGCGCGUAGGCGGUCAGCACAAGUCAGUUGUGAAAUCUCCGGGCUUGAACUCGGAAAGGUCAACUGAUACUGUGCGACUAGAGUGCAGAAGGGGCAACUGGAAUUCUCGGUGUAGCGGAUGAAAUGCGUAGAUAUCAGGAGGAACACCAAUGGCGAAGGCAGCUCGCUGGAACGGUACUGACGCUGAGGCGCGGAAAGCGUGGGGAGCGAACAGG
rnacentral:rRNA from 1 species